rnacentral:misc_RNA from 1 species
AACCAAAAUGGUUUAGGCCAUUUUAGUGAUGGGGAGUUUAGUUCAGCGUAUAGCCUGCCAGUUUGAUAUUUACACUCCUGGGUCCAUAAUUAUCAACAUGUUAUCAGAGCAUAUCAAGCCCUGGUUUCAGUUUAAGUUCAAUUCUCGGUGUUGCCAUUGCAUUUCAGUUUUAGGUUUCAAGUGUGCCACUUGAGGGUGAGUCUUGGAAUAUCACUUGUCGGAACAAUUCUCACAUUGGCAGUGUAUGAGAAAAUUAAAGGGCAUAUAUGUGUUGCCUGGGAAUUUAAUAUUCACACUCCUAGGUCCAUAAUUAUCAACAGUUAGAAAGAAAGAUAUUUAUAUUACCUGCUGAAGCAAAAAUAAUAACCCUCAAUUUUGACAUGACUUGAAAAAUUCCAAAUGAAUAAGAUCUGAGUUAAUUAUAUCAUGUUUCAAGAGCAAUACUGAGAGUUUUUAAAAGGUGGACUAAUAUAACUGCAGAGUGCUAUGAAAACUAGACUAAAGUAUGGGGUUAGAGAAGUCAAUAUAAUGUGGGAAGGGUACAUGUCUUUCAAAUGGAGCAAAGGAGUUAUUUUGAAAAUGAUUCUGUUAAUAUCAUCAUCUUAAAGGAGUGAAGUGUUUUUUCUUUCUUCCGAUGUACAGUGUAACUGAAGGUAAAACAUGAGGUUCUUUUAGGAAAAUAGAUCUUCUAAAAGUCUAACAACUUCCAAUUUUCAAUAAAAGUCUAACAACUUCCAAUGUUUAAUUUUAAGUAAAAUUGGUCAGAAUGACCCCAAAAAAAAUCCAAAUAAUUGUACUUUCCUUUUUUAAUUUUAACCUAAUCUUUUAAUUGUAGUAACUUCAGCCUAAUUGGUGUCAAUUGUAGUCAAUGAUCAAUACAUAUUAUUCUAACUCUUAAUAAAAUAUUAUUUCUCUGUAAAUUUCAAUGAAUUUUAUAUAUUUUUCCCCUUUCCUCUCUCUCUUUGUCUCUUUCUUUUCUUUUUCUCCUUUCACUUUCUCCAAGUGCAUAUCUGUCACAAUCAAGACUCUGUUCUUUCAUCACACUGAAAAAAUAGUAUGGAAUUUUCUUUGGCUGAUCCUUACUAAGCAAUAGAAAGCACUGGAGUUUUGGGCAUUGAAAUCCAGCGGGAAUCUUAUCAGGGAUCUUGCAAAAGUUUAAAUUGACUCUUUCAAUAAAGUGUUGUCCAUGGCAAUAGCAUAGAUGACAUGGUGAUCUCUGGCUGCAAUUGAGAUGUCAUAAUUUUAAACAUUAUGCAUAUGGAUUUAUCCAUUCUCUUCUAGCAACAAAACAGCAGGCUUUGAGGUUGUUGGGCAAUUUAUGCAGUUUAUUUGAUUCUUUUGCUGUAUUGCUUUGUCUAAACAAACCCAUACCUAUGGUACAAUGCAACAAGUAAUCAGGGUUAAGGUUGUAAGGUUCAAGUUGUUCACGAAGUGAGAAUAGUUACUUGAUUUCGUCAAUCUUUUAAUGAACUGUAACUCAAUUCAAUUCUACUGCCAACAUAACUUUCUUUCCCAUUUCAUCAUUGCCAAACGAUUUUACCCUACGAAGGCACCCUAUUAUCACACAAUACCUUGUUUCUCUAGAGCCACUGCAUACACUAUGAUUAAGCUUGAAGAGAUUGAAAAGAGAG